GACGAACGCUGGCGGCGUGCUUAACACAUGCAAGUCGAACGCUGAAGCUCAGCUUGCUGGGUGGAUGAGUGGCGAACGGGUGAGUAACACGUGAGUAACCUGCCCUCUUCUUUGGGAUAACGCCCGGAAACGGGUGCUAAUACUGGAUAUUCACUGAUUCUCGCAUGGGGGUUGGUGGAAAGGUUUUUUCUGGUGGGGGAUGGGCUCGCGGCCUAUCAGCUUGUUGGUGGGGUGAUGGCCUACCAAGGCUUUGACGGGUAGCCGGCCUGAGAGGGUGACCGGGCACAUUGGGACUGAGAUACGGCCCAGACUCAUACGGGAGGCAGCAGUGGGGAAGAUUGCACGAUGGGCGAAAGCCUGAUGCAGCGACGCCGCGUGAGGGAUGGAGGCCUUCGGGUUGUAAACCUCUUUCGCUCAUGGUCAAGCCGCAGCGUUGGGUUGUGGUGAGGGUAGUGGGUAAAGAAGCGCCGGCUAACUACGUG
rnacentral:rRNA from 1 species